rnacentral:rRNA from 1 species
UAGGGAAUAUUGCACAAUGGAGGAAACUCUGAUGCAGCGACGCCGCGUGAGUGAUGAAGGCCUUCGGGUCGUAAAACUCUGUGAUAGGGGAAGAUGAUGACGGUACCCUAUCAGAAAGGACCGGCUAACUUCGUGCCAGCAGCCGCGGUAAUACGAGGGGUCCAAGCGUUGUUCGGAAUCACUGGGCGUAAAGCGGGUGUAGGUGGCUAGGCAAGUUAUAUGUGAAAGCCCCGGGCUCAACCCGGGAAGUGCAUCUAAAACUACUUAGCUUGAGUAAGGGAGAGGAUAGCAGAAUUCUUGGUGUAGUGGUGAAAUACGUAGAUAUCAAGAGGAACACCGGUGGCGAAGGCGGCUAUCUGGCCCAUUACUGACACUCAGACCCGAAAGCGUGGGUAGCAAACAGG